UACGUAGGGCGCAAGCGUUGUCCGGAAUUAUUGGGCGUAAAGAGCUCGUAGGCGGCUUGUCACGUCGGGUGUGAAAGCCCGGGGCUUAACCCCGGGUCUGCAUUCGAUACGGGCUAGCUAGAGUGUGGUAGGGGAGAUCGGAAUUCCUGGUGUAGCGGUGGAAUGCGCAGAUAUCAGGAGGAACACCGAUGGCGAAGGCAGUUCUCUGGGCCGUAACUGACGCUGAGGAGCGAAAGCGUGGGGAGCGAACAGG
rnacentral:rRNA from 1 species